GCUUUACUGUAACUUGAAAUUGAAAUUGGACUUUAUUUGCGCAGUAUAGGUGGGAGGUGUUGAGAUUAUCCUUGCGGGGAUGAUGGAGCCAUCAGUGAGAUACCACUCUUGUAAUGUUAGAUUUCUAACUUUGUAUCAUAAUCUGGUCAAAGAACAGUUUCAGGCGGGCAGUUUGACUGGGGCGGUCGCCUCCCAAAUGGUAACGGAGGCGUACAAAGGUUUCCUCUGAACGUGUAGAAAUCGUAUCUAGAGUGUAAAGGCAUAAGGAAGCUUGACUGUGAGACCUACAAGUCGAGCAGGGACGAAAGUCGGUCUUAGUGAUCUGACGGUGCUG
rnacentral:rRNA from 1 species